AAAAGCGGGUUUAAGCGCACGUCGAUCAAGUGAUUUAAAGGUUGAAAUACACCGCAUAAUGAAUUUAUAUAAGCCUACACCUGUCGCGAAAAUGCUUUAGUAUGUCUUGGUUCUGUUAAAAUCGCGCUGGUUCCAACUCUUCGACCUUUCGGCAACUUUUACUGCCGCUUUACCUCGCGUUUGUUGACGAUUAGCUUUUCGAGAACUUGAUGUGUGUAUGUGUCUUAUCGUGUCAGUGGGUUCUUCAUCUGGUUGCGCCAACCGUAAUUUGACUAAUUUGUUUGCCGAUGAUAAGGACGUUUUAGCACCAGUUUUGCUGACGCGCUCCCUUGGACCUUAGACAGGUUUGGAAAAUGGCAUCAGAAAAAAAGGAAAAGUAUCCAUCCACUUUUACCAUUGACAACUUCAGUUCAACAGCCACUUUGACAAACAAUGACCAAAUCAAAGUGCCCAUUGGGUUGCCUGAAAAGGUCGAGGCGACCGACUAUAAUCCUUACGAGCACCGAAAUCUCGUCCAUCCAAACAGGUAAGUUUUUGCCCAAUGCAAU
rnacentral:lncRNA from 1 species